AGUGAACGCUGGCGGUAGGCCUAACACAUGCGAGUCGAACGGAAGCAAAGUAAGAGCUUGCUUUUACGGGUGCCGAGUGGCGAACGGGGGGGGAAAAAAUGGGAAUCUCCUUUUCCGUGGGGGAUAACGUAGGGAAAUUUACGCAAAUACCGCAAAGGACCUACGGGUGAAAGAAGGGGACCUCCGAACCUUGCGCGAUUGAAUGAGCCGAUGUCGGAUUAGCUGGUUGGCGGGGUAAAGGCCCACCAAGGCGACGAUCGGUAGCUGGACUGAGAGGAUGAUCAGCCACACUGGAACUGAGACACGGCCCAGACUCCUACGGGAGGCAGCAGUGGGGAAUAUUGGACAAUGGGCGCAAACCUGAUCCAACCAUACCGCGUGGGUGAAGAAGGCCUUCGGGUUGUAAAGCCCUUUUGUUGGGAAAGAAAAGCAGCAGGUUAAUACCCCGCUGUUCUGACGGUACCCAAAGAAUAAGCACCGGCUAACUUCGUG
rnacentral:rRNA from 1 species